CCUAACUCAAGAUGGCUGCCUCCCUGGCAUUUUCUACCAACAUGGAGGCCUGCCAUACUGUUAUCCAGGCUCUGUUUCUGGCCUACCAGAAAAUGUGUUAGCUACUAGAAUGAAUACAUGGAACGGCACCAAAGACAUUACUGGCUAUAUCUGAAGGAUGAAAACAGCCAAUAGUUUUUAAGAAAGGGACUCAGAUUGGCCAACACGGGGACAAGCCAAGAGAACAAACAAUAAAUAAAAUAAAAUACAUAUAAAGACAACAUCUUCAAGCAGAUAAAAUAAACACAUUAAGCUGAAACAUGUGAUGGAAUCUGUCAAAUUCACCUGUGUUAGAUCACU